AGUGAACGCUGGCGGUAGGCCUAACACAUGCAAGUCGAACGGCAGCACAGUAAGAGCUUGCUCUUACGGGUGGCGAGUGGCGGACGGGUGAGGAAUACAUCGGAAUCUACUUUUUCGUGGGGGAUAACGUAGGGAAACUUACGCUAAUACCGCAUACGACCUACGGGUGAAAGCAGGGGAUCUUCGGACCUUGCGCGAUUGAAUGAGCCGAUGUCGGAUUAGCUAGUUGGCGGGGUAAAGGCCCACCAAGGCGACGAUCCGUAGCUGGUCUGAGAGGAUGAUCGGCCACCUUGGAACUGAGACACGGUCCAGACUCCCACGGGGGGCAGGAGGGGGGAAUUUUGGAAAAUGGGCGCAAGCCUGAUCCAGCCAUGCCGCGGGGGUGAAGAAGGCCUUCGGGUUGUAAAGCCCUUUUGUUGGGAAAAAAAAGCAGCAGGUUAAUCCCCCGCUGUUCUGACGGUACCCAAAGAAUAAGCCCCGGCUAACUUCGU
rnacentral:rRNA from 1 species